GUUUCCGUAGUGUAGUGGUCAUCACGUGCGUUUCACACGCGCAAGGUCUCCGGUUCGAACCCGGGCGGAAACA
rnacentral:tRNA from 1 species